GGUUUUCGCACCAUAACUUUAGUAUAAGUAAAUAGAAAUCUUUGAAAUUUAAACACAAGGUUUAUGACCAUAAAAGGAAGGUUGGGUUUGAUUUUGGGAGUUUUGGUCCCAACAGGUUUUUAGGAAUAAGGGGCCCAAAGGGUCCAAAAUUGAACUUUGUUUGAUUUCAUCAAAAAUUGAAUAAUUGGGGUUCUUUGAUAUGCCGGAUCUAACUGUGUAUGUAGAUUCUUAAUUUUUGGUCCCGUUUUCAAAUUGGUCUACAUUAAGGUCCAAAGGGUCCAAAAUUAAACUUAGUUUGAUUUUAACAAAAAUUGAAUCCAUGGGAUUCUUUGAUAUACUGAAUCUAAAAAUGUACUUAGAUUUUUGAUUAUUGGCCCAGUUUUCAAGUUGGUCCAAAUCGGGGUCCAAAAUUAAACUUUGUUUGAUUUCAUCAAAAAUUGAAUAAUUGGGGUUCUUUGAUAUGCCAAAUCUAACUGUGUAUGUAGAUUCUUAAUUUUUAGUCCCGUUUUCAAAUUGGUCUACAUUAAAUACCAAAGGGUCCAAAAUUAAA
rnacentral:lncRNA from 1 species